UGCCUCGUACAGGGGGACAACAGUUGGAAACGACUGCUAAUACCGCAUAAGCGCACGAUACUGCAUGGUAUUGUGUGAAAAACUGAGGUGGUACGAGAUGGACCCGCGUCUGAUUAGCUGGUUGGUGGGGUAACGGCCUACCAAGGCGACGAUCAGUAGCCGACCUGAGAGGGUGACCGGCCACAUUGGGACUGAGACACGGCCCAAACUCCUAC
rnacentral:rRNA from 1 species